AUGGCAUUACCGAAGAGUAGCCACAGCACUCUUGGUGUCGCAUCACUUCUCUUCAUGGCGUUCCACAUUGGCAUCACCAGCUCACAAGCAGCAAUUGCCGCGACCGCGGCGGAGUAUGACGUUGUCUCUCUUGGGGCCAAGCCCGAUGGUGUCACAGACUCGACGCGAGCCUUCGUGGGCGCGUGGCUCGCGGCUUGCGGCUCUGAGAAGCCAGCCAUGAUCAGCGUUCCGCCUGGACGGUUCCUAGUGGGAGGGGCCACCUUCAAUGGGCCGUGCAAGAACAACGCCAUCCGGUGGCACAUCCAAGGGGUCAUCACGGCUCCCACGGAUUACAACGUGCUUGGGAAUGUCGGGACGUGGCUCUUGUUCCAGUACGUGGAUGGCAUGUCCAUCUCCGGUGGGAUCCUUGACGGGCAAGGUGCCGCCUUGUGGGCUUGCAAAGCCUCCGGCAAGAAUUGCCCCAGUGGAGCCACGACAAUACUCUUCAGCAACUCAAAGAACAUUGAGGUGAGCAAACUGAUGUCGCUUAACAGUCAGCUUUUUCACAUUGUCAUCUACGGAUGCCAAAACGUGAGGCUGCGAGGAGUGAAGGUUUUCGCCUCCGGUGACAGCCCUAACACGGACGGCGUUCAUGUUCAAUUGUCUUCCGGUGUCACGAUCAUGAGCUCGAAAAUCGGAACUGGCGAUGACUGUGUCUCGGUCGGUGCCGGCACCACAAAUCUUUGGAUCGAAAAUGUCAUGUGUGGACCGGGCCACGGAAUCAGCAUUGGGAGCCUAGGGAAGGACCUUGAGGAGGCAGGGGUUGAGAACGUGACAGUCAAGAACGUUAUGUUUGGAGGACACAAAACGGGUUGAGAAUCAAAUCUUGGGGUAGACCCAGCACCGGAUUUGCCAAGAACAUCCUCUUCCAACAUGCCUUGAUGUCCAACGUCAAAAACCCAAUCGUCAUCGACCAGAAUUACUGCCCCAACAAAAUAAAUUGUCCUGGUCAGUUUUCAGGCGUAAAAAUUAGCGAUGUGAUAUAUCAAAACAUUCACGGGACAUCGGCGACGGAGGUGGCUGUCAAAUUUGACUGCAGUCCGAAGAACCCGUGCACAGGAAUAAGAUUAGAAGAUGUGAAGCUCACUUACAAAAACGAUCGGCGACCUGCUCAAGCUUCUUGUGUUAAUGCUGGUGGAUUGGCCUUUGGCCUGGUCCAACCCUCCAGUUGCUUAUAGUGCAAAACGUUGAAUAUGAUCAAUCGAGUAUUGUAAUAUAUGUACUGCGUAGAAGUAGAAACAUAUAGUGGUGGUAGAUUACAUGUAUCUUGUGAAUGUUGCUUGAGCAUGUGGCUGUUUCCCACCUUGAUUAUGAAAAGGCUGGUCCGAAGCCUGGCCUUGCAACGUUGGCUUUGUACUAAUUUUCUGUUAUAUUCAACUGAUUGAUGAAAUACACAAGGUUUUAAGUAA